AACGAACGCUGGCGGCGUGUUUAAGACAUGCAAGUCGCACGGUGUCAUUUUGGUAGCAAUACUUGGAUGGCACAGUGGCGCACGGGUGAGUAACACGUGAAUGACAUGCCCUUCAGAGGGGGAUAGCCCAGGGAAACUUGGAUUAAUACCCCAUGGUCUCGCAAGAGUAAAGGUGGCCGCAAGGCUGUCGCUGGAGGAUUGGUUCGCGUUCAAUCAGCUUGUGGGCGGGGUAACGGCCCACCAAGGCUACGACGGAUACCUGGUCUGAGAGGACGAUCAGGCACAAUGGAACUGAGACACGGUCCAGACACCUACGGGUGGCAGCAGUCGAGAAUAAUUCACAAUGGGGGCAACCCUGAUGGUGCAACGCCGCGUGGAGGAUGAAGGUCUUCGGAUUGUAAACUCCUGUCAUCCGGGAGCAAGACCUGACGGUGAAUAGCCGGCAGGGUUGAUAGUACCGGAAGAGGAAGGGACGGCUAACUUCGUGCCAGCCGCCGCAGUAAUAC
rnacentral:rRNA from 1 species